rnacentral:rRNA from 1 species
UGGUCCUAACUUAAAAUCAAUUUUUACUUAAUUUACACAUGCAAGUCUCCGCACCCCCGUGAGAACGCCCCCAUUUUCCUAAAAGGAAUAAGGAGCUGGUAUCAGGCACAAUUCUUUGCCCAAGACACCUAGUUCAACCACACCCCCAAGGGUAAUCAGCAGUGAUUAACAUUGAAUAUAAGCGAUAGCUUGACUCAGUUAAAGUAGAUAGGGCUGGCAAAUCUGGUGCCAGCCGCCGCGGUUACACCAUGAAGCCCGAAUUGAUUUUUUUCGGCGUAAAGUGUGAUUAAAGUACUAAUAAAUUAUAGCUCAACCAGAAUUAAGCCGUAACACGCUUGUUCCUGAGAAACCCAAAAACGAAAGUUACUAUAAUUAAUUUACUUGAACUCACGAUAGCUAGGAGACAAACUG